GCCGAAAGGCCUGGAGCGCUGCGUGGCGAGCAGCCGUUAUCUGCGGCUGGCAGCAGGAAGGAGCCCCGGGCACGCCCCGGCCAUUGCCCCAUCGCCGGGGACGGCGGGCCAGGCCCGAGCCCGUUCCCCGCACCCAGCCGCGUGCCCGCGUCCCGGCCGGAGCUCCCCUCAGCAGCGGGGCGCAGCCGCCAUGCAAAGCACUUCCUCUGCCGCGUCCCUCUUGACUCGCAGAAAGUCACUUUUGCUUCCUUAAGAAAAUAUCUCUGCAAAGCCCAGCCCGUGGCCGUGGUUUCCGCUCGCGGAGGGCUCGCUCCGACCCCUUGGCCCCGCAGGUUUGGUAAGUGCCAUUCCCUGGCUGUCACCGCUUCCCCCGGGCAGGCCUUGCUGCGGUCGCAUGCUGCAGUUGGCCCCCAGCACUGGGGAGGGGCUGGCUGUGCCAGCAGCGCUGCCUGCACCCCUGCACCCCUGCACCCCAGGAGCCGCAGGUGGGACCGAGGCACUCGCCCCAGAGGGGGCCAGGCCAGCCCCGGAGAGCAGCAGGACACGCGGCGCUGGGGACGGACGGUUGGUACUAAGAAGUGCCUUUCCUGACGUCGCUGCUGCUUGGGACCGCUUCUAGAGCAGCCGCUGCUUUUGCCUUGCUUGCUGCCAGCUAGACUGCGACGACAGCGCUCCGCCGCUGCCAGCCCCGCGCCCGCCGGGAGGAGGGUCCGGCGCUGCUCCCCCCCCCCCCCCCCCCCCCCCCCCCCCCCCCCCCCCCCCCCCCCCCCCCCCCCCCCCCCCCCCCCCCCCCCCCCCCCCCCCCCCCCCCCCCCCCCCCCCCCCCCCCCCCCCCCCCCCCCCCCCCCCCCCCCCCCCCCCCCCCCCCCCCCAGGAGAAAAAAAAAAAAAAAACAAACCCCAGCCUAAACCCGGUGUCGGUCGUUGCUCUAAACUGCUGCAUCUGUCUAUGCCAAACUAAUCGAUCCCGAUUGCACCGCAGAGCCCGCUGCGAGCCCGCUGCCUGGAGGCACCUGCCCGCCCCCCCCCCCCCCCCCCCCCCCCCCCCCCCCCCCCCCCCCCCCCCCCCCCCCCCCCCCCCCCCCCCCCCCCCCCCCCCCCCCCCCCCCCCCC
rnacentral:lncRNA from 1 species